AGCUGCCUGCUUUCUGUGUCUGCCUAUCCAUCUGUGCAAAUGGAUUCAGUGUGAUUUUAAAUCUGUUUGAAAAUGAAAUUCAGUUGCAAGAAGAAAUUUCUAAUGAAGCAUUUGAAACAGACAAAACAGAAAAAAAUCAAGAUGUAUUGUAGAACACAGGACUGAUAAUGGUUCCAUCGUUUUUCUUCUUUUUUUGUCUUUAUUUGGAGAAAUACAAAGAGUAUUCAGAUCACAGCACUGUUUAAUUUUGAUUAAAACAAUAAUUAUAACCAA